ACUCAAAUGAAUAGACGGGGGCCCGCACAAGCGGUGGAGCAUGUGGUUUAAUUCGAUGCAACGCGAAAAACCUUACCUACCCUUGACAUCCUUGGAAUCCUGUAGAGAUAUGGGAGUGCUUCGGCACCAAGAGACAGGUGCUGCAUGGCUGUCGUCAGCUCGUGUCGUGAGAUGUUGGGUUAAGUCCCGUAACGAGCGCAACCCUUAUACUUAGUUGCUACUUUCCGCAAGGAGAAGCACUCUAAGUAGACUGCCGGUGACAAACCGGAGGAAGGUGGGGAUGAUGUCAAGUCAUCAUGGCCCUUAUGGGUAGGGCUACACACGUGCUACAAUGGGCAGUACAGAGGGCGUUGAAACCGCGAGGUGGAACAAAUCUCAGAAAGCUGUUCAUAGUCCGGAUUGAAGUCUGCAACUCGACUUCAUGAAGUUGGAAUCGCUAGUAAUCGCAAAUCAGCAUGUUGCGGUGAAUACGUUCCCGGGCCUUGCACACACCGCCCGU
rnacentral:rRNA from 1 species